CUAUGUGUUGUUGGGUAGGGGAGCGUUCUGUAAGCCUGUGAAGGUGUACUGUGAGGUAUGCUGGAGGUAUCAGAAGUGCGAAUGCUGACAUAAGUAACGAUAAAGCGGGUGAAAAGCCCGCUCGCCGGAAGACCAAGGGUUCCUGUCCAACGUUAAUCGGGGCAGGGUGAGUCGACCCCUAAGGCGAGGCCGAAAGGCGUAGUCGAUGGGAAACAGGUUAAUAUUCCUGUACUUGGUGUUACUGCGAAGGGGGGACGGAGAAGGCUAUGUUGGCCGGGCGACGGUUGUCCCGGUUUAAGCGUGUAGGCUGGUUUUCCAGGCAAAUCCGGAAAACUAAGGCUGAGGCGUGAUGACGAGGCACUACGGUGCUGAAGCAACAAAUGCCCUGCUUCCAGGAAAAGCCUCUAAGCAUCAGGUAACAUUAAAUCGUACCCCAAACCGACACAGGUGGUCAGGUAGAGAAUACCAAGGCGCUUGAGAGAACUCGGGUGAAGGAACUAGGCAAAAUGGUGCCGUAACUUCGGGAGAAGGCACGCUGAUAUGUAGGUGAAGUCCCUCGCGGAUGGAGCUGAAAUCAGUCGAAGAUACCAGCUGGCUGCAACUGUUUAUUAAAAACACAGCACUGUGCAAACACGAAAGUGGACGUAUACGGUGUGACGCCUGCCCGGUGCCGGAAGGUUAAUUGAUGGGGUUAGCGGUAACGCGAAGCUCUUGAUCGAAGCCCCGGUAAACGGCGGCCGUAACUAUAACGGUCCUAAGGUAGCGAAAUUCCUUGUCGGGUAAGUUCCGACCUGCACGAAUGGCGUAAUGAUGGCCAGGCUGUCUCCACCCGAGACUCAGUGAAAUUGAACUCGCUGUGAAGAUGCAGUGUACCCGCGGCAAGACGGAAAGACCCCGUGAACCUUUACUAUAGCUUGACACUGAACAUUGAGCCUUGAUGUGUAGGAUAGGUGGGAGGCUUUGAAGUGUGGACGCCAGUCUGCAUGGAGCCGGCCUUGAAAUACCACCCUUUAAUGUUUGAUGUUCUAACGUUGGCCCCUGAUCGGGGUUGCGGACAGUGUCUGGUGGGUAGUUUGACUGGGGCGGUCUCCUCCUAAAGAGUAACGGAGGAGCACGAAGGUUGGCUAAUCCUGGUCGGACAUCAGGAGGUUAGUGCAAUGGCAUAAGCCAGCUUGACUGCGAGCGUGACGGCGCGAGCAGGUGCGAAAGCAGGUCAUAGUGAUCCGGUGGUUCUGAAUGGAAGGGCCAUCGCUCAACGGAUAAAAGGUACUCCGGGGAUAACAGGCUGAUACCGCCCAAGAGUUCAUAUCGACGGCGGUGUUUGGCACCUCGAUGUCGGCUCAUCACAUCCUGGGGCUGAAGUAGGUCCCAAGGGUAUGGCUGUUCGCCAUUUAAAGUGGUACGCGAGCUGGGUUUAGAACGUCGUGAGACAGUUCGGUCCCUAUCUGCCGUGGGCGCUGGAGAACUGAGGGGGGCUGCUCCUAGUACGAGAGGACCGGAGUGGACGCAUCACUGGUGUUCGGGUUGUCAUGCCAAUGGCACUGCCCGGUAGCUAAAUGCGGAAGAGAUAAGUGCUGAAAGCAUCUAAGCACGAAACUUGCCCCGAGAUG
rnacentral:rRNA from 1 species